UACGUAGGUGGCAAGCGUUGUUCGGAAUUAUUGGGCGUAAAGGGCGCGUAGGCGGUUUGUUAAGUCAGCUGUGAAAGCCCGGGGCUCAACCCCGGAGGGUCAGCUGAUACUGGGCGACUAGAGUGUGGUAGAGGGUAGUGGAAUUCCCGGUGUAGCAGUGAAAUGCGUAGAGAUCGGGAGGAACAUCCAUGGCGAAGGCAGCUACCUGGACCAACACUGACACUGAGGCACGAAAGCGUGGGGAGCAAACAGG
rnacentral:rRNA from 1 species